rnacentral:tRNA from 1 species
GGGGAUGUAGCUCAGUUGGCAGAGCGCCGCCUUUGCAAGGCGGAUGUCAGGAGUUCGAGUCUCCUCAUCUCCA